UAGACGGCUCGAGGUAGCGUGGCUCCAGACCAUUCUACUUGCUGUAGUUUGGUCUGGCUUUGCGAGACUACCCUCACACAGACCAUUGCUACACUUCAAGCCUAGGCCCUGUAGGCCUACUCCGAUGGUUCUCAAACUCCUGUGUUACAGUGGGUGAAAUUAAGACGGAAAGAGAGAGAGUCCUCUAGUGCUGCGGUUUGUUCUUGCAGGGGCUCCCUACUACUGCAUCCCUACUCUAUUUAUGGUAUGGUUUUAAGUAUACAGUAUUAGCAACCAAGAAUAAUUUCCCAUAAUUCAAGUUUGUUCGUU